GGAGGCUGGGCAGUCAGUGUCUCUGAGAGUGAGGGACUUCAUACCAGAGGAGAGAGUUCAGGCAAGGAGAUCCCAGGAAGUCAGGUCACGCCCUUUGUGACAGACCCUGAUAGAACUAGGAACCCUGGUGACCAGGUUCCUAUGACCUAGAAACAGCCUCUACACAACUCACUUGGCCAGAGUUGAGACAAGAGGUUCUCAUGCUACUUUUUUAUUUCCAGAGGCUACGGCCUAGGAAGACCAUUGGGUAAAAGCCUUUCCCUGUGGUACAGAUAUUUACUCAGGCCUGAACACUGCCUCCGGCCACUUGCCAGAUGGCACAGAAAGUAACAAAGGAUGACCCAGGAAGGCCCAUCAAGACCAGGCCAGCACGAUUUGUUGUGAAACAAGGAUCUGUGUGUGGUGCCAGAGUACAAGGUCAUCUUGAUAGGAACAAGCCAAACCAUGACCAAGACAGACUCUGGUACUACUGUGGGGCUGUGGACAGGGAUUCUACGUCCCAGGCACGGAAUAGAGGACUAUUUGAAAACCUCUGGUGUAUAUCUGGAAGACUCCAAUUCUGAUAGUGGAACUACCUAAAUGAAAGUUAUGUCUGGAAAAUUGGUAUCGUGAGUACCAGGACAGAUGCUCGAUUCCCACCAAGCACCAAGGCCAAGACAGCUGAGGCUGGUGCAGAACCUGACGCAGAGGUCACUGAGGCUGCAAGCUGGAUGCAGGUGUGUUGAGAAGAAUGUAGGCAACGGGACAUCGAGUGAUCUCAAGAGCCAGCGUGGGGCCUUAACUCCACCAGAUAGGAACAAGUUGAUGAAUGGACAAUCACCUCAGAAGGUUUUAUGUUAUCUAAAAUACAUUUUAUCCAAGCUCUCUGCUGUAGCCUGGAAAAGCAGCAGAAGAUGGCCCAAGUACUUGGGUCCCUGCACCCACAUGGAAGACCUGGAGGAAGCUCCAGCUCCAGCAUUUGCGACAUUUGGAGCUCAGCCCCCGAUGCCUCCCAGAACGGACGCUGGGGGCGAAGCCCACUUGGUUGCUGCUUCCCAGGGCUCGGCUCAUCCGUGUCGGACCUGUGGUGUGCCCAGGUGAGUGACAAGUUUGACAUUUGACAGGUGAGCCCCAAGUGGGCACCAGAUGCACCUGUACUCUGCAGCCUGGACUGGUAGACCUGCUUCUCGGGUUAAGCCCCAAAUCCACGCACCCACUCCUCCCGACACCAGUGCGGCUGCCACUCUAGUGGACCCCUCUGAACAUGGGAGAGGUGGACCCGCCCAGGUCCUGGGCUUUCCUUGUCGGGCCCCACCUCCAUCUAUGCCCCAUCCCCCCAGCUCUACCACUUCCUCCCCAGCCCUGCCUCCCUCAGUUCCCUCCCAGCCUCACUCCAGCCCCACCCCUCUCACCGGCCCCACCUCUCCAGCUUUGCCAGACUCCUCUGAGUAGUAUGAGGACAGUCCUCUGAGGUUGCUGACAUCUCCUGGGGCCCCUCCACCACAGGAAGUCGUACUCCACCCUCUCUUCUCAGCCCCAUCCCCAACCCCCACCCCUCCCCCAUCCAGCACUAACCCGUCCUCCCACAGCUGUGCUGCUGCCUCCUCGGCCACCAGCAGUCUGUACUCGGCGGCUGCGAAACGGUCCCAGUCUGACAGCUCAGGGCCAUCACCGUCCUGCAGGAGGCAUGCAGUCAGCAGUGGUAAUCAGCAGUCAUUGGUCAGUAGAGGUCAGCAGUCAAUGGUUAGCAGCAGUCAAGUAGGGGCCAUCAGCAAUUGGUUGGCAGCGGUCAUUGGUGAGUAGUAGUAGUCAGCAUUGGUUAGUGGACAGCAGUGGUCAGCGGUCAGCAGAGGUCAUCAGUCAUCAGAUUUACAAAAGCAGUGAGGAAGAUCCUUCUGCCAUCAUGCCUGGCCAAAGUGAUGGGCAGAUAGGAAGUGUUGUUGAUGUCAUAAUAUAGAUAAUGUCAUGAUGACAUCAAGAUGCCAAUAUGCUACUAGUGAUGCCUCUAGUUCCAAUAACAUCAAACUAUUACAUGAUGUCAUGAUGACAUCAACAUUUAGGCAGCUUAGCACAUCAGCUCUGAGCUGCAAGCACAUAGUUCUCCUGGGCAUCAUCUUAAUUCACAUGGAAAAUACAAAAAAAUGACAGAAUCUAGCCAUGACCAUUACUUUCCUGAUAUUCCAGGAAAUAUUAAAUAAAAACGAUUAGGGGUGGGACCAAGCAUUACCCCCUCAGCUGAAGUCCUCAUGGCCACCUCCGAGGUCAGCUUUGUAAGAGAGACCAGGAGGAAGAAGACCGAGAAAAAUUCAUGCCAGUUAAUGGGUGAUUGACAAGGUCAUCGGCCAUCAUGGUGACCCCAAAAGGCCAGCCCAUCCCCCAGUGGCUCCUGUUUCCAUGCCCUGGUUGAGGGCUAGGGGGUCAAAGGGUUCCUGGGUCAUAGAAGACCCUGUUGGCCCCAGGCUUAAAAAACAAUUCACUGGCUCCGCCCAGCUUCCCAGGGAGCCAUGGGUAUGAGGGGACUGCCGAGGGUUGGAGACAUGGCAAGCAAAGCCAGAAAUUUAGACUUAAGGAGCCGCCUGCUCAGACCCCCUCUGCUGCCAGGCAGCGGGGUGAUAGAGGCCAACGGAGCUUCUUUCCUCAGGAAGUUCCCACCUCCCUGUGUCAGUGGUGUCUGUGGUCAGUAGCAGUCAGUUGUCAGCAGGGGUCAGCAGGCAGCCUCACCCCGGGCAGGGCCAACUGCUCGUGCUGUUCACGGUCCAGGUACUUGUCCACGUUGAAGAAGGUGUCAAAGAAAAUGGGCGCCAGCAGCCGGCACCGCUUCAGAUCGCCCAGCGUGAUGCGGCCUAUGGGGGUGGAUGCAAGGGCAUGGAUGUGGGGUUGGACACCAGGGCCAGGGCCAGGGCCAGACGUGGGGGAUGUACAUGUGGACCCAGAGAGGCCUCAGAGAAAUCAGAGUAAACGAUGCAGGCAGGUGCUGGGCAGCAGGGGCACAGGAGGCCUGGAUGCUGGGAUGGACGUGGUGGAGGGGGAUAACCCAGACGCCUUGGCCAUGGCCAGAGGGGACUGCAGGACCACUCGCCAGCAACGCCCUCCAGACCCUGUGGGCAAACAGCUGGGACCUGGUGUGACGUGUGUACCUCCCACUGGGGGAGGGGCAGGGUGCUCACCUGCAAGAAGGGGACGAAAUCCUCCUGUUCCAAGAAGUCGCACCCAGGACUAGCGAGCAGGUGCAGGAACCUGGCCUCCUCAUCGUGGCAGUCCUGGAGGAUUCUGGAAGCAUCAGCAUCGUUCGGAGCCCCGUCCCCAGGAGGUGGGAGUGGGGCCUGGGUCCCCUCUGCCAAUCACAUGUGGGAGGCAGAGCCAGGGUCUCCUCUGGCUACUGCAGCUGGGGAGGCAGGGCCUGCCCAGGACUCCCCCUGGAGGAAGCCCUGCCCUGCCCCACCCCCCUUACACUCUCCUGCCCAGCAGGUGUAGGAUCCCCAAGGCCCGCCCCCUGUCCUGCUUACCCUGCAUGCCUGGGACUCACCUGCGCCACAUGGCCACGAAGCUGAUUUUUGAGGAGGGACCCAGUCUGCUCCCCAGGGCUCAACACUUGCCAAUCAAAACACAAAGCUUCCAGAAAAAUUCAGUGUGUAUCCAGUGGCUCUGGGUAAACAAAUCCAUGCAAUAAAUUAAAAUGAAGUGAAAUAAAUAAAUACGAUGAAAGGGAAUACAUGAAAUUAAAUGAAAUGAAGUAAAUGCAAUAAAAUGAAGUAAAAAGAAAUGGAAUAAAACAAAAUAAAUGUAUUGAGGUAAAUUAAUUAAAUGAAAUUCAGUAAAAUAAAAUAAAAUGAGUUAAAACAACAUAAAUGGGGGCAGGUGCUGUGGCGCAGCAGGUUAAAGCCCCAACCUGCAGUGCCAGCAUCCCAUAUGGGCGCCUGUUCCAGGCUGGCUGCUCCUCUUCCAGUCCAACUCUCUGCUAUGACCUGGGAAAGCAGUGGAAGAUGGCCCAAGUCCUUGGGCCCCUGCACCUACGAGGGAGACCCAGAAGAAUCUCCUGGCUGCUGGCUUCAGAUCAGCUCAGCUCUGGCCCAUUGCUGUCAUUUAGGGAGUGAACCAGUGGAUAGAAGACUUCUCUCUCUCUCUCUGAUUCUACCUCUCAAACAAAUAAAUCUUUAAAUAUUUAUGUAUAAAUAAAAUUAUAUAAAUGAAAUACAAUGAGAUAAAAAUAGAAUAAAAUAAAUACAAUAAGUUAUAAAUAAUGCAAUAAAUGAAUAAAAUGGUAUAUAACAUAAUAAAGUUGAAUAAAUGAAAUAAAAUAAGAAAAUUAUAAAAUGGUAUAAAAGGAAAUAAAUGAGAUAGAAUGAAAUGAAAUCAGAUUAAAUGAGAUAUAAUUAAAUAAAAUUAAAUGAAGUAAAUACAAUAUAAAUGGAAUAAAAUAAAUUUAAGAUAAAAAAGAAAUGAAAUAAGAUAAAAAAUAAAUUAAGAUAAUUAGAAUAUGUGCUGGCGCCGUGGCUCACUUGGUUAAUCCUCCACCUGCGGCGCCAGCAUCCCAUAUGGGUGCUGGGUUCUAGUCCUGGUUGCUCCUUUACCAGUCCAACUCUCUGUUGUGGCCUGGGAAGGCAGUGGAGAUGGCCCAAGUGCUUGGGCCCCCGCACCCGCAUGGGAGACCAGGAGGAAGCACCUGGCUCCUGGCUUUGGAUCGGCGCAGCACGCCGGCUGUGGUGGCCAUUUGGGGAGUGAACCAAUGGAAGACCUUUCUCUCUGUCUUUCACUGUCUAACUCUGCCUGUCAAAUAAAAAAUUUAAAAAGAAUAAUGUAAAUAAAAAUAAAGUGACAGGUGCCUGUCAGAAGUGAUUGACACAUGGCUGAGAAGCUCUCAAUCACAGGUUCACUUGCUUGGACUUCUAGGGGAGUGCAGGGGGCCCCCCUGCAAGGACAUUCCCAUGGCACCCUCCCUGGAGAGGCCUCCUCACCUGGGUGAGUGCAAGAGGUGGGGCCAGGUGGGGAAGCUCCGCCCACUGCUCCCAGGAGGGCCGGCCACAGCCAGUACUGCCCAGAGGGUUGGGUGCUGUGACAUCAUGGGAUGUCAGUUUAUUUUAUGUCAUUGUUUAUGACUUCAUGGUAUUUUAUUUCAUUUGGAUUAAAUCAUGGGAUGGCAUUUUAUGUCAUUCUUAUGACAUGGAUGAUAUUUUAUAUGUCGGGAUAGAAUGGUAUUUUAGUUUUUAUAAUAUGGUAUUUUAUUUUUUAUGAUGUUAUGGUCUGAUAUUACAUGCUAUUUUAUUUUUUAUUAUGGGAUGGGAUGCUAUUUUAGUUUUUAUGAUCUUAUGCCAUGGCAUUUUCUUUCAUGUUAUUUUUUAUUUUAUACUAUGUUAUGCUAUGUUAUUUUAUUGUAUUUUAUUUUUUAUUAUGUUGUGGAAUGGUAUUUUGUUUUAUUUUCUAUCAUACUAUGUUCUGGUAUAUUAUUUUAUUUCCUUUUUUAUUUCAUUAUUUCAUUUCAUGUUAUAUUAUGCUAUGCUAUAUGAUUUCCUUUUACUUUAUUUUAUUUCACUUUUAUUAAGUUAUGUGGUUAUUCUAUUUCAUUGCGUUUCAUUUUUGUUGUAUUUUAUGUUAUUUUUAUGAUGUCAUGGGAUGGCAUUUUUAAUCAUAUUGUUUAUGACAUGGGAUGGCAUUUUAUGUCAUUGCUUAUGAUGUCGUGGGAUGACAUUUUUUAUUUUAUUUUUAUGCCAUGGGAUGGUUUUAAUUUUUAUUAUGUUACACUAUGGCAUUGUAUUUCAUGUUAUUUUUAUUAUGUCAUAGGAAGAUAUUUUGGCUUAUGUCAUUUUAUUAUAGUAUAGGAUAACAUGUCAUUCUUUAUAACAUGGAAUGGCAUUUAGGUCAUUGUUUAUGAUGUCACAUGAUGAUAUUUUAUUCUAUUUUAUUUUAUUUUUUAAGAUUUAUUUAUUUGAAAGAGUUACACAGAGAGAGGAGAGGCAGAGAAAGAGAAAGGUCUUCCAUCUGAUGGUUCACUCCCCAAUUGGCCGCAACAACCGGACCUACGCCAAUCCGAAGCCAGGAGCCAGGGGCUUCUUCCCAGUCUCCCACGUGGGUGCAGGGGCCCAAGGACUUGGGCCAUCUUCUACUGCUAUCCCGGGCCAUAGCAGAGAGCUGGACAGGAAGUGGAGCAGCCGGGUCUCGAACCAGCGCCCAUAUGGGAUGCCGGCACUUCAGGCCGGGGCAUUAACCCAUUGCACCACAGUGCCGGCCCUGAUGUUUUAUUUUAUGUCAUUGUUUAUAACACCCUGGGAUGGCAUUUUAUCUUCUUUCCUUUUCAUGAUGUUAUGAGAUACCAUUUUAUGUCAUUCUUUAUGCUGUCAUAAGAAGGCACUUGGAGGGCCAGCACUAUGAUGCAGUAGAUAAAGCUGCUGGCUGCAGUGCUGGCAUCCCAUAUGGGUACAGGUUGGAGUCCCAGCUGCUCCUCUUCCAAUCCAGCUCUCUGCUAUGGCCCAGGAAAGCAGUGGAAGAUGGCCCAAAGAGUUGCACCCAAAUGGGAGACCCAGUAGAAACUCCUGGCUCCUGGCUUCAGAUUGGGCCAACUUCUGCCAUUGUUGCCAUUUGGGAAGUGAGCCAAUGGGUAGAAGACAUCUCGUGCUCUCUCUAUCUAGCUCUGCCAUUCAAAUAAAUAAAUUAAAAAAAAAAAAAAGGCAUUUUGGCUGACGCUGCGGCUCACUAGGCUAAUCCUCUGCCUGCGGUGCCAACACCCGGGGUUCUAGUCCCAGUUGGGGCGCCAGAUUCUGUCCUGGUUGCUCCUCUUCCAGUCCAGCUCUCUGCUGUGGCCCCGAGAAGGCAGUGGAGGAUGGCCCAAGUGCUUGGGCCCUGCACCCGCAUGGGAGACCAGGAGGAAGCACCUGGUUCCUGGCUUCAGAUCGGCACAGCACACCGGCCAUAGCGGCCAUUCGUGGGGUGAACCAACUGAAAAAAGGAAGACCUUUCUCUCUGUCUCUCUCUCUCACUGUCUAACUCUGCUUGUGAAAAAAAAAGGCAUUAUGUUGUAUGUGUUAUGUCAUGCUAUGGCAUGUGUGUUUCUCUGUGCACGUAUGUGAGACCCUCCUUCCUACAUCUGGUAUCCUGGGUUGUUAAGGCCUCUGAUGGGUUGUGUCGGGACCCCUGCUUCUCCUGUUCAUGAUAUCUGUGGUUGGCCCCUGCAUACUCAAUGCCAUUACCUGUUUUAUUAACUCGCAUAUUGGCAAAGUCAAGAUCCAACUACUCAGAGUCCUGACCCCCAGGGACCAGCCCCUAGAAGAUGAAGUGGAUUUCUUAGAGAGUGAGCAGGUACCCCGUCUGCCUGCUAGGGCAGGUCUUACCUUGUCUGAUGUUGUCAAGGUCCAAUCAUUCCAAGUCUCCUUGAGUCUGGGUUGGUGGUAGUGGCUGGUGGCUGGGACAGCAGAGCUCCCCACUCUGGAGGACUCCUCCCCAACUGUCUGUCCUGCAGGAGUCACUGUCACAUGGUCAGCAAGGCAGGAACUGGUAAAUCACAACUUGAAGGCCAUUUCAGGAGGCACACACUGUCUUACCUUAGACAUGGGACUAGACUUUUAUGGCAGGUGGAGAAAGUGUUUCCACUAUCAGCAUUGGGCUGCUCAGACCCAGCUGGCCCUCUGAUAACAAGCAGGAGGGAGGCUAGCAUUCCCUCGAACUGGCUCCUUAAUGGCAAACAGGAGGGGGUCUGUUAGGGACAUGUCACAUACACCCCCAUUUCCUGCCUUUAGCUGAGACCCUUGGUGCUGAACCAGACCCUUGCAGACUCCUUGCAAAGCCAAUGGUAAAACAGAUAAGAAGAAAGUUCCUUGAGGCUUCAAAGAGCCCCCUACUCCCCCUCAGUGGCAAAUCCCCUCCUUGACCAGAUAAAAACUGAGUUGUAAAUGCACCCUUAGUGCAGUCUCUUCCCAAAAACAGACUGUCGCCAACCUCUUUGCUUCAAAUAAAGCAACCUCUCUCUGUUGAGGUUGGUGUCUGUCUCCUUUAUCCGUCUCCAUUCUGGGGGUAUGAAAGGCCAGAACCCCGAGCUAUUCCAAACCUAACACUUGAAGGCCUGUACAGGGAAUGGGUCUUUUCAUGUCUUAACCCCCCAGCUUCUUCCAAACUUUUCUCUAUCCUAGAGUCAACUUCCUUUUACUUUCAUUUCUGACUUGCUUGGGCCUAACCUUUGGCCUCUCUCCUCACCCUUCUACACCACCCUCCGGAGGCAUUCAGGAGCACUGCUUCCUGCUGAGCUCACUGGUGUAAGCCUGUCCCUUAGACUUUCAUCUUCUCCCCCUUCUUUUCCUAUUAAGCCAACCUCCAGAGCAGGGGCUUCUUGCCAUUUGACCAAGUUACAUGCAGACACUGGCCUCAGCCCCUUGUGUGGUAAGGUAAGACUCUUCCAUCUGGACAUAUUCUGGAGCUACCCUAGGAUAUUGUUUUCCAGGUCCAGCCCCAGAUCCCCUGCCCUUAGGCUCCAGCUUUGGUUGCACCCACCGGCGAACAAGAGGCCGCCUAAGUUCACUGCUGCGUGCACUCUGCCUACUGGCUCCAGCUUCGGCCUGAUCCACGGCAAACAAGGAAACUUACAACUUCACUGCAGCGUCUCCAUCUCCGUUCCUGCAGUCUUCUGUGUCAAGUGGGGACUUGGCCUAGAGCCCUUCAGUCGGAUCUCUGGGUGACUUCACCUCAAAUCUCCUCAUUGAACAACCUAUGGCCACUGGUUGAGGAUCUUGGUCUCCAGGGAAUGUUCACUGACUUCAUUCCAGAGUAAAUCGACUUCUUCACUCCCACUUUAUUCUUAUUAUUGGCCCCAGGUGGUCUCAGUGACUUCACUCCUAUGCAAAUAUCUGAUUUUCUUUCUUUCUUUUUUUUUUUUUUUUAUUUGACAGAGUUAGACAGUGAGAGAGAGAGAUGGAGAGAAAGGUCUUCCUUCCUCUGGUUCACUCCCCAGAUGGCCGCUAUGGCCGGAGCUACGCCGAUCAGAAGCCAGGAGCCAGGUGCUUCCUCCUGGUCUCCCAUGCGGGUGCAGGGCCCAAGCACUUGGGCCAUCUUCCACUGCCUUCCUGGGCCACAGCAGAGAGCUGGACUGGCAAAGGAGCAACCGGGUCUAGAACCCGGCACCCAUAUGAGAUGCUGAUGCCGCAGGCGGAGGAUUAACCAAGUGAGCCACGGCGCCAGCCUCCCUGAUUUUCUUUCUGUUUAAAUGCAUUGUCACCCUUUGCUGCUGUCUUCAGUCACAGUCCUUGCCCUUAUUGUUGCUGUAGGAUUAGUGGCAGUCACGCCUACUGAUUGGACCUAUGUUGAAAAUUUCUCUCAGCACUUCUUAAACCAAUUGGUCCAACAAAUAGAUUCUGACUUUGAAAGCCUCCACCAGGCAUCCACUGCCUUACUAGAACAAAUAAACUCCCUGGCAUCCAUGGUCCUGCAAAACAGGAGAGCACUAGAUCUCCUGACAGCACAACAGGGCGGAACCUGUCUUUUCUGGGAGAAGAGUGCUGUUGUUAUGUCAACCAGUCUGGAGUGGUAACUGACUCCCUAGACAAGAUCAAAAAUAGACUACUGGAACAGGCACAGGCUCAAAACCAACAAAACAUGGGGAGGACUGCUACACUGGGAGAGUGGGCAUGGCUAGCUCCUCUUCUCGGGCCCAUCACAGUCAUCCUUAUGGCCUUGCUAUUCAGACCAUGCCUAUUUAAUUUAUUGCAAAAUUUCUUAAAGAAUAGCAUCAAAGCUCUCUCAAGUCCAGAUUAAAACCAUGAUGCUAUUCUACCACCUCAAUCAAGGAUACCAGACCCUUCCCUCAAAACCCAAAGAGGACUCUGGGCUCUACAGGCAAACCCCAGUAUCCACAGGGCCCUUUCUCUGCAGGAAGUAGCCAGAUGAAAUCAACACCCCUUUUCCUUUUUGCCUCUAGGGGCUGGAAUAAAGGACAUGUCACCUUUCUUCCUCCUCCCUGCCGCCCCCUCCCACCCCCAGUCCUAUUUCUUCCUUUUAGCUGAGACCCUUGCUGCUGAACCAGACCCUUCCAGAUUCGUUGCAAAGCAAAUGGCAAAACAGAUAAGCUGCACAGGGCAGCUAUGAAACAGAUAAGAGGAAAGUUCCACUACUUCCCCCCUACCCCCCUCCCAGCUGCCUCUACCCACCCUCCCCAGUGGCAAACCCCCUCCCUGGCCGGAUAAAAACUGAGCUCUAAACACCCCCUUUGUGCAGUCUCUUUGCAAAAACAUAGUGUCACCAACCUCUUUGCUUCAGAUAAUGCAACCUAUCUCUGUUGAGGUCAGUCUCAUCUUCCUUUUUCCGUUUUCCUUUCUGGGGGUAUGAAAGGCCAGAACCCCAAGCUAUUGCAAACCUAACAAUUUGUAAUACUAGCUGCAAUUUCUGAAAAGACUCUGAAUUCAGAGCUGGAAUUUCUGCAAGCAACUCAGCUCAGGGCUGGAAUUUCUUCAAAGAAUCUGAUCUCAGAGCUACAAUUUUUUGCAAAGAAUCUGAAGUCAAAGCUGCAAACCAGCUGAGCUCAAGGUUGCACCAACAAAUCGUUUUAGCAAUCAAUAAACCUUGAAUAAUUUGUGUGUGCGCACCCAGCUACCUCUGCUCCUCCUCUCCAAGGCCUCAGCGAUAGAGGGGGGAAUGGGAGGGGUGCACGUCGCCCCACCCUCACCCCAGUACAGAGCCUGCUGCCCCACCCCCAUCAUACCCUGCUGUGUCCCUCAAUCAUCACAGCCACCUUUCAGCUCCCUCUGGGCCUCCUGCUCUUGACAGCACUGUGAGGGGGACUUGGAUCAAAGCGAGACCGGGGCUUCGGGUUGGACUUUGUAGCAGCAGGUACAUGUAUUGUUGUGGGGUGCACAGAUUAAAAACUCAGGGAGACUUUUGAGGUAAAAUUAGGAGUCUAUUAGACAGCUGGUGACUGCCUUCUCACAGAGUAAGUCUGGAGAAGACAGCCCCAAGUUGUAGUUGUGGGUAUUUUUAAAGGAGAAACCACAUUUUGGUGGCCUUGGCUCUUAUCAAGCAAGCAAGCAGAAGUACAGAAGCCAGAAAUAUGCCAGUUACAGGGUUACAGCCAGAUGAGCAGACUGAUAUCUAUAACUUGUUGUUCUCAAAGGAACAGUCCUUGCUCUGAAGCAGCAAAGCAAGAUCCCCUAUAAUCACCAGGGCAUGCUAUGUCCAGAGGAACGGUGUCACAGCAUCCCCCCAGGGCCUGUCUGUCAAAACAAUGAUGCUGGUGUAGUGGAUGGCGGAAGGUGUGGAGGCUGGGCUGGCAGCUUGGGGAGUGUUGCAAAGGGGCUAGGUUGCUGUGGUUUGAAUGCAGCUCCCUGUUCAUGCACACCUGGGGAGACCUGGAUGGAGCUCCUGGCUGCAGAUCCCUGCUCAUGCACACCUACAUCCCCCUUACCCAGC